rnacentral:tRNA from 1 species
GGUCCCGUAGCGCAGAGGCAGCCGCGCCGCCUUCUCAAGGUGGAGACGCCGGUUCGAAUCCGGCCGGGACCAC